UACGGGGGGGGGCAAGCUUGUUCGGAAUUACUGGGCGUAAAGGGCUCGUAGGCGGCCGACUAAGUCCAACGUGAAAUCCCAAAGCUUAACUUUGGAACUGCGUCGGAUACUGGAUGGCUUGAAUUCGGGAGAGGGAUGCGGAAUUCCAGGUGUAGCGGUGAAAUGCGUAGAUAUCUGGAGGAACACCGGUGGCGAAGGCGGCAUCCUGGACCGAGAUUGACGCUGAUGCGCGAAAGCCAGGGGAGCAAACGGGG
rnacentral:rRNA from 1 species